ACCGCCGAAACCGUGGCAUUCAGUUUUGCUGGAUGGGUAGGGGAGCGUCGUUCACGAGGUGAAGCCAGCGGGUAACUUCUGGUGGAUUGUGGACGAGUGAGAAUGCAGGCAUGAGUAGCGAAAGACGGGUGAGAAACCCGUCCGCCGGAUGACUAAGGGUUCCAGGGUCAAGCUAAUCUGCCCUGGGUAAGUCGGGACCUAAGGCGAGGCCGACAGGCGUAGUCGAUGGACAACGGGUUGAUAUUCCCGUACCAGUGAAGAACCGCCCAUGCUGAGCCGGUGAUACUAACCGCCCGAACCAUCCCGAACCUCGUCUUUGACGGGGUCGGUGAUGGGGAACGCGGGACCUGAACCGGGGAGGCAAGCGCAUUAACAGGUGUGACGCAGGAAGGUAGCCGGGCCGGGCAAUGGAAAUGACCUGGUCUAAGGGUGUAGGGCUGCCGGUAGGUAAAUCCGCCGGCUGUAUGCCUGAGACCUGAUGGGCGCCCACAUGGUGGGUGAUCCGGUGAUCCUAUGCUGCCUAGAAAAGCAUCGGCGCGAGGUUCAAACUGCCCGUACCCUAAACCGACACAGGUGGUCAGGUAGAGAAUACUAA
rnacentral:rRNA from 1 species